GUUCUUGUAGCUUACAACAAAGCAUGGCACUGAAGAUGCCAAGACGGCCCCACACCAACCCAAGAACA
rnacentral:tRNA from 1 species